AUGAACAUGUUUUUAUUUCUUUUAAACAAAGGAAGAACAUUAGGAAAAUUAACAUUUUCCACAUAAAGUCUGUUUUGAACUGGAGCCUACAACAACAACAUUUUCAGCACCAAAACAAACAAAAAAAAUAAAACAUACAAAUAGCCAUAGAUUAGUAUCUAUAAGCAUACAUGGAAUAUUGCACUUUGUUUUUUUAUUUCUUCUCUAGAAAUCUUGAUUUCAUUUGUUUUCUUCCUUAGUUAGGAAACCAUCUCAAAUACUGGACUAUACAUGAAACUGACCAGUACAGAAUAAAAAAAAAUUGAGAAAAAUAAUGCCUCUAAACAAUAGAGUAAAUAAAUAUGUCCACAAACUUUGCAGAAGUUUGAAGCUUUUUUUCGAUUUACCACAUUACAUGCGAUACAGUGCCAGUGGCCUUGGUAAUGCUAAAUCUCACAUACAUUUGCAGUGGCUAUUAAUAUUGGUCUACCCUAUAUAGAUAUACGAUCUGCCUACCAGCCUGCA